UUCCAUAUGAUCUAGUGGUUAGGCUUCCUGGUGUUCAGCCAGGAGGCCGGGGUUUGACUCCCGGUUUGGGAA
rnacentral:tRNA from 1 species